AGUGAACGCUGGCGGUAGGCCUAACACAUGCAAGUCGAACGGCAGCACAGUAAGAGCUUGCUCUUACGGGUGGCGAGUGGAGGACGGGUGAGGAAUACAUCGGAAUCUACUUUUUCGUGGGGGAUAACGUAGGGAAACUUACGCUAAUACCGCAUACGACCUACGGGUGAAAGCAGGGGAUCUUCGGACCUUGCGCGAUUGAAUGAGCCGAUGUCGGAUUAGCUAGUUGGCGGGGUAAAGGCCCACCAAGGCGACGAUCCGUAGCUGGUCUGAGAGGAUGAUCAGCCACACUGGAACUGAGACACGGUCCAGACUCCUACGGGAGGCAGCAGUGGGGAAUAUUGGACAAUGUGCGCAAGCCUGAUCCAGCCAUACCGCGUGGGUGAAGAAGGCCUUCGGGUUGUAAAGCCCUUUUGUUGGGAAAGAAAAGCAGCAGGUUAAUACCCCGCUGUUCUGACGGUACCCAAAGAAUAAGCACCGGCUAACUUCGUG
rnacentral:rRNA from 1 species